UUUAAAAACAUGUUGAGAGUUGCUUUUAGUCAGGUCUGAGUUCAUCCUUGGACACUCUGGACGCGUCCUGAAGGAAGAGGAGGACAGAAGAACUUUGAGAGUCCAGAAGUGGAGACUGAGUAGUUUCACUAUCAGCUUACUGAUAGGAGCCUCCUCAAUGCUGUCUCCUUGUCUCUGCUUAUCAACACUAAUUAAAACAUUUGGAUUCUCCUGCAGCUGCUCUGGAGGAGUAUGUGUCCGUCUGAGCAUGUAUGUGUGGGAGACAUGAGAGCGGAGAGGAGUCUGAGGAAGGAAAUGUAUCAGCUUGAAGGACUUCCUGUCCAUCUAUGGUGAACGGGGGCCUCAGCAAAUAACACACAGGCUGCGUCGGCAGAUGUGUGUGAAGGGGUCAACACUGUGCCGUGUGGACGUCCUCAUCACACCAUCCUGCAACAAUGACAACAAGCCUCAGUUCCACGGACUGGGUGUGCGCCGGGAUGCCGAACAUUUCCACGGGCAAACCGGAGCCCGCCAGCCGCUCCGGUACCGUCAUGGCGCUGAGGUAGGACAUCCUGUCCUGGGUCUCUGAGAGCCCGG